GAGGGUAUAGCUCAGUUGGUAGAGCAUGCGCCUAGCAUGCACAAGUUCCUGGGUUCAAUCCCCAGUACCUCCA
rnacentral:tRNA from 1 species